CGGGUGCGUAACACGUGAGCAACCUACCUCUGGUGUGGGGGAGUAGCCGGGCUAACGCCCGGGUAAUACCGCAUACGGUCAUCCGGGGGAGUCCCUGGGUGAAGAAACCUCCGGGGCACGGAGAGGGGCUCGCGGCCUAUCAGCUAGUUGGCGGGGUAAUGGCCCACCAAGGCAUCGACGGGUAGCUGGUCUGAGAGGAUGGCCAGCCACAUUGGGACUGAGAGACGGCCCAG
rnacentral:rRNA from 1 species